rnacentral:rRNA from 1 species
AUUGAACGCUGGCGGCAGGCCUAACACAUGCAAGUCGAACGGUAACAGGAAGCAGCUUGCUGCUUCGCUGACGAGUGGCGGACGGGUGAGUAAUGUCUGGGAAACUGCCCGAUGGAGGGGGAUAACUACUGGAAACGGUAGCUAAUACCGCAUAACGUCGCGAGACCAAAGAGGGGGACCUUCGGGCCUGUUGCCAUCGGACGUGCCCAGAUGGGAUUACCUUGUUGGUGAGGUAACGGCCCACCAAGGCGACGAUACCUAGCUGGUCAGAGAGGAUGACCAGCCACGCUGGAACUGAGACACGGUCCAGACUCCUACGGGAGUCAGCAGUGGGGAAUAUUGCACAAUGGGCGCAAGCCUGAUGCAGCCAUGCCGCGUGUAUGAAGAAGGCCUUCGGGUUGUAAAGUACUUUCAGCGGGGAGGAAGGCGGUGAAGUUAAUAGCUUCACCGAUUGACGUUACCCGCAGAAGAAGCACCGGCUAACUCCGUGCCAGCCGCCGCGGUAA